rfam:Flavobacterium fryxellicola strain DSM 16209 FBFR38, whole genome shotgun sequence.
UUGUAGCCCUGAUGAAAGAGGAAAGCCUUUUGAAAUAGAAUUGCUUAUUUUUCCUGAUCAUAAAGAGCGACCAGCGGAAGCUCCUUUAUGCUCAGGAAAAAGCAAUUGUAUGAAAAAGCUUGAAACGGCCAGCAGGAAACAGC